rnacentral:rRNA from 1 species
GGUAUUUUGACCGUGCAAAGGUAGCAUAAUCAUUAGUUUUUUAAUUGAAAGCUGGAAUGAAAGGUUGGAUGAGAAAUAAGCUGUCUCUAUUUAAUUUUAUUAGAAUUUUAUUUUUAAGUAAAAAAGCUUAAAUUUUAAUAGAAGACGAGAAGACCCUAUAGAGUUUUAUUUAUUUUUUAAAUAAAAUUAAUAGUAUUAAUUAUUUUUAUUUAAUAUAUAAAUUUAAUUGGGGUGAUUGAAAAAUUUAAUAAACUUUUUUUGUAUAUACACAUUGAUAUAUGGUUGAUUGAUCCUUAAUUUAAGAUUAAAAGAUAAAAUUACCUUAGGGAUAACAGCGUAAUUUUUUUUAAGAGUUCAAAUCGAAAAAAAAGAUUGCGACCUCGAUGUUGGAUUAAAAUAAAAUUUUGGUGUAGAAGCUAAAA